AAUGGGCGAAAGCCUGACGUAGCGACACCGCGUGAGCGAAGAAGCCCCCUUGGGGUGUAAAAGCUCUGUCAGCUGGAACGAAAAAAAAUGACGGUACCAGCAGAGGAAGCAUCGGCUAACUACGUGCCAGCAGCCGCGGUAAGACGUAGGAUGCAAGCGUUGUCCGGAUUUAUUGGGCGUAAAGAGUUCGUAGGUGGUUUGUUAAGUUUGGUGUUAAAAGAUUGGGGCUCAACCCUGAAACUGCACUGAAUACUGGCAGACUCGAGUGUGGUAGAGGCUAGUGGAAUUCCCAGUGUAGCGGUGAAAUGCGUAGAUAUUGGGAAGAACACCGGUGGCGUAGGCGACUAGCUGGGCCAUAACUGACACUGAGGAACGAAAGCCAGGGGAGCGAAUGGGAUUAGAUACCCCAGUAGUCCUGGCCGUAAACGAUGGAUACUAGGCGUAUCGGGUAUCGACCCCUGAUGUGCCGCAGCUAACGCGAUAAGUAUCCCGCCUGAGUAGUACGGCCGCAAGGUUGAAACUCAAAGGAAUUGACGGGGG
rnacentral:rRNA from 1 species